GACGAACGCUGGCGGCGUGCUUAACACAUGCAAGUCGAACGGUAAGGCCCUUCGGGGUACACGAGUGUCGCGCGGGUGAGUAACACGUGGCUGAUCUGCCCUGCACUUCGGGAUAAGCCUGGGAAACUGGGUCUAAUACCGGCUAGGACUACUGCCUUCACGGGUGGUGGUGGAAAGCUUUUGCGGUGUGGGAUGGGCCCUUGGCUAAUCAGCGUGUUGGUGGGGUGAUGGCCGACCGAGGCGACGACGGGUAGCCGGCCUGAGAGGGGGACCGGGCACACUGGGACUGAGAUAGGGCCCAGACGCCUACGGGAGGCAGCAGUGGCGAGUAUUGCACAAUGGGCGCAAGCCUGAUGCAGCGGCGCCGCGUGAGGGAUGACGGCCUUCGGGUUGUAGACCUCUUUCGGCACCGACGAAGCGCAAGUGACGGUAGGUGCAGAAGAAGGACCGGCCAACUACGUGCCAGCCGCCGCGGUAA
rnacentral:rRNA from 1 species